GAAAUACUGUAUUCAGAUGCGUUAUGAUAUUUUAGUAAAAAAAACGUGCACGUGUACGAUGUACCGUCUCGAGAUGCCAUGUUGUUCUUCAGAUCAAUAACUUGGAUAAUAUUGAUACAGAUGUUCACAAUUUGAAAACUUACAACUGAAGAAGACCUUCAUGCCCGAGCUCUUACAACCUAAUCACCAAAGUUGCUGUACAUGGAUUGAAAUAUCAAGCCAACUACUGAAGAAUAUCUCAGAAAACAUGCUUCUGCGAGGUACAUACUGGGACGGUAAAGAGGUUUAAUCAGACUACUGUAUGAUAUAACAAGUUCACAAUUACAAACUUCUGUACUAGCAUUUCUCUGUCGUGUUUCUACUGAAAUUGUUUAAGCAAGGAGUUUGUGAUGUCAAAGAAGCUCUUACAGAUGUUAAAAAUGAGAGAACCAUAACCAAUUAAGUAAAAUCUUUAGGAAAUACUGAACUAUUAGCUAGCAACCUUUCAAUUAUCCACUCUUGCCUGGAACCUUGAAAACAGCUAAAAUGUAUUAGUAACAGAGGAAAUCUACCACUAUUGUGUUCUUGUAUUUACGCAUAUUUUUAACAAAUUAUAUCUCACACACAAAGUGAAUAAAUUCCAUUGAGUAUUCUUA